ensembl:lncRNA
ACCUUUAUUGUAGAGUUAAGUGGUUAACACACCGCCAUAUUACAGCAUUAGAGCAUUCUGAACCCGACUAUGUACUUAACUUUACCAGUGUGUGUAUGUUUUCAUGUUUUCAUGCUACUAAUUAACAUCCUUUUUUUUCAGCUUGAAGAACUCCUUUCAGCAUUUCUUAUAAGGCAAGUCUAGUGGUGAUCAACUCCUUCAGCUUUUGUUUGUUGGGAAAAUGUUUAUCUCACCUUCAUUUCUGAAGGACAACUUUGACAGCAUUAUGUUGUAGGUACUUCAUGUGCUAUUACAGAAGAUUUAUUACCAUUAAAAAACUACUUCUUCAAAUGAGAAAACUGACAGCUGAGAGUUUGAAGAAAUCUGCCAAUUUUACAAGUGAAUAAAUGUUAGCGCUCACAUUCAAACUCAGAACUUUAGGAUUCCUUGGAAAUCCUUCAACAUGCUCCUUAGGGAUGACGGAUACCUACUGGGUGGAGUCCUCUCCUUCUUGAGACAACUUUUCAACCAGAGUAGCGAUUGUAGAUGAAUUCCUAACCCCUGGUACCUGUGAAUGUGACUUUAUUUGGAAAUAGGAUCUUUGCAGAUGUAAUCAAGUUAAAAUGAGUGUCGGCCCUAAUCCAAUAACUGAUAUCCAUAUAAGAAGAGGGAUAUUUGGACUUAGACACAGAGGAGACACAGUGGGGAGAACACCAUGUGAAGAUGGAGACAGAAAUUGAAGUGAUGGAUCUAAAAGCCAAGGAAUACCAAAGAGGAAUGGCAAACACGAGAAGCUAAGAGAGAAGCAUGGAACAGAUUCUUACUCAGGGCCUCCAGAAGGAACCAACCUACUAACACCUGGAUUUCAGAAUUCUAGUCUCCAGAACUGUGAGAGAAUAAAUUUAUACCAUUUUAAGUGACUCGGUUUGUGGCAUUUUGUUAUGGCAGUCCUAGAAAACUAAAACAGUAGCUUUCCUUUGAUUUGUCUUAUGUCUGCAUAACAUGACACUUGCAGGAAGAAUUGACUUACUUGUGAAAUGUUUAGAAACCGUGACUCUCUUCCAUUGAUGGCGGUGGUAGGUGAGGAAAAGCAGUGGGGCUCUUUGCCUCUGAAUAAAACUCUUUUGUUAGAGUAGCAGUAUGUUCUAAGUAUUUUACAGUAUUUCUAGUAAUGUGUUUUUUCAUUUGAUAAAUUUUAAUUACUGUUCCCUGUCCUCGCUUCCAUGGUCCAUUCUCUGUACAGCUGGGACAAAUUACAAUUUCAAUGAUACUACGUUAUACUGUGCUCAAAACCACUCACCUUCACAGACACCCUAGCUAAUGGACCAAGGAAGUGCUUUGACUCUCCUUUCUUUCAAAUGAGUUCCUUUCCAGAAUAGUAUACUGCCUGGGAAGCUAAGCAGGAGCCAUUAUUCCCAGACUGUUCUGGGGCCGCUCAUCAAUCCCAAGAGGCCCAGCCAUGUUUUUUACUACAAGGUGCAUGAAGUUCUUAUGGAAAUAAAACCAGUAGGCCCACCUUCCACUCCUGCCCCUUAAGGCAUGCCUUGAAUACGUUUUUUCACAUAUUACUAGAAAUCACUGGAAAAAAAUUUAGGUAGUAUGCAAAAUUUUGUUUUAGACACCAUGAAUAAAGAUAAGUUGCUGUUUCGUUUGUAAGGAAAAAGCAGGCAGCAUUAUUGUAUAAUCUUAUUUAAGGGCAGUGUAUCAUUUCCAAAUCCAGGAAGUCAUAGUUUCCUACUGGUACUGGCUAAAAAGCAGUAGUUGAAUGGAUUAGUAGAGCUAAUUAGAUCCAUUUAAAAUUAUUGUUUUUACUCUUUUCAAUUAAGAGUAUAUUUAUUUUCUUAGUAAUAUUUCAACACAGCAAUUAUAGUUUAAAUAAACAAGUGAAAGAAUGCAGACACUUAUUCAAAAGAGAUGCUCAUAACAUUGUUUUAAAUUCUUAAAAUUUAUAGCUGUGUUCAGUGAAUUCCAGUGGGAUUUAGUGAGUUUAUUUCCUUUUUGGUUUUAAUUAGGAAACCCUACUGGAAUUGUGAAUAGCUGUACAAGCUAGAGGAAUGGGUAUGUUUUACUUGAUUAUAUUGGAUGUUAGUGAUUUUUUCUUUAAUAAAAUUUCAGUGAUGUUAUGGUAUUAGUUGAGGUUUCUUUUUUUCUUAAGAAUGGUAGAAAUGAAACCAAAUAUUUACUUAAAGACAUUUUGAAUGUUGCAAAAGUAUGUGCUUAUUGAGAAAGUUGAGUUUUCUCUAAGAAAAAACCUCUAACUUCUAUGUUUUGACUGCAUAUCAGUUUGAGAUUGGGGCCUUGUGAAACUCCAACUAAACAAAAUAAGUAUUCAGAAAAACAUUCUUUUAUUUGUGGUGGUGAGCAGAGGCAAGACAGAGGGGAAAGGGCUUGGAAUAGAUGAACAAUUUGCUUAGAUUUUCUAGAAGGGCCACUUAGAAACUGUUAGGAGCAUGGACUCAGCCACGAAACUUAGGAUCCUCAGUGAUUCAUGGUCAUUUUGGGGUUUCAACAGAAACUUUGUUCCUGCAUAAUUGUUGCUCUCUGACU